rnacentral:rRNA from 1 species
AACGAACGCUGGCGGCAUGCCUAACACAUGCAAGUCGAACGAGACCUUCGGGUCUAGUGGCGCACGGGUGCGUAACGCGUGGGAAUCUGCCCUUCGGUUGGGAAUAACUGAGAGAAAUUUCAGCUAAUACCUUAUAAUGUCUUCGGACCAAAGAUUUAUCGCCGAGGGAUGAGCCCGCGUAGGAUUAGGUAGUUGGUGGGGUAAUGGCCUACCAAGCCGACGAUCCUUAGCUGGUCUGAGAGGAUGAUCAGCCACACUGGGACUGAGACACGGCCCAGACUCCUACGGGAGGCAGCAGUGGGGAGUAUUGGACAAUGGGCGAAAGCCUGAUCCAGCAAUGCCGCGUGAGUGAUGAAGGCCUUAGGGUUGUAAAGCUCUUUUACCCGGGAUGAUAAUGACAGUACCGGGAGAAUAAGCUCCGGCUAACUCCGUG